rnacentral:rRNA from 1 species
UACGUAGGGGGCCAGCGUUGUCCGGACUUACUGGGCGUAAAGCGCGCGCAGGCGGACCUGUAUGUGCCGUGUGAAAGCGCCGGACUUACUUCGGCGAGGUCAUGGUAGACAGCGGGUCUGGAGCCUCGGAGAGGUCGGUGGAAUUCCGGGUGGAGCGGUGAAAUGCGUAGAGAUCCGGAGGAACACCAGGGGCGAAGGCGGCCGACUGGCCGAGUGCUGACGCUGAGACGCGAAAGCUAGGGUAGCAAACGGG